GAGCGGAAGCGAAGCGAAGCGAAGCGAAGCGAAGCGAACCGCCAAGGCCGCAGCCCCGGGAGCGGCCCGGCCCUCAGCGCCGCGGCCCUGGAGCGGGGCCGGUGUGGGGGGGUGGUCGGAAGGGAGCUGGGAUGCGCCACUUCUCGCCGCCGAUGCGCCUUUUCUCGCCCCCGCCCUUCUCGGGCACCUGCGCCGGCCGCUCCAAAUGGCAGUGGGAGCACCAGCACCCCCGGCUCGGCAAAGGUAGGGACGGGAAACCGCCGGGGCAACGAGGGACAGCACCCCCGGCUCGGCAAAGGUAGGGCCCCAGCAGCGCCGGGGCAACGAGGGACCAAAUCGGAAGAGUUCGGACACCACCCGCAGCCCGCCAAAGGUAAAACAAAAUAAAAUUGGCAAAAAUCA